AGAGCAGGCCAACACACACCUGUCCAGGUACAGGAAGCUGCAGCAUGAGCUUGAGGUCAACAAAAUCAACAAAAUGAGAGCAAAGAGUCGUGAAGUUGGCAAGGGAAAAGAAGCUGAAGAAUUAAGUGCAGCCCUGAAGAGAGACAUUAACAAGGAGUCAUACAAUAUGAGUUCCCGAUAAAAUGUUCUCGUAUAAAAUAGUCAUUCAAUAAAGUGAGCUGACAAAGCC